rnacentral:tRNA from 1 species
CGGGACGUAGCACAGCUUGGUAGUGCACUUGCAUGGGGUGCAAGGGGUCGCAGGUUCAAAUCCUGUCGUCCCGACCA